AGUGAGAAUGCCGGAAUGAGUAGCGAGAAUUAUGUGAGAAUCAUAAUGGUCGAAAAUCUAAGGUUUCUUGAGGAAGGUUCGUCCGCUCAAGGUAAGCCGGGAGCUAAGGCGAGGCCGAGAGGCGUAGUCGAUGCACAUACGGUAAAGAUUCCGUAGCCACCGAAGUCGUUAAAUACAGGGACACAGGAACAUAGCCUAACCCCACCGUUGGUUGAGUGGGGCGUAAGGGAGCGAAAAUUAGUAGCGAAGUAGGUGAUUGUACACUGGCGAGAAAAGCUGUAUGAAUUGACAAGGUGCCCGUACCGCAAACCGACACAGGUAGAUGAGGAGAGAAUCCUAAGACCAGCGGGAGAAGUGUUGUUAAGGAACUCGGCAAAAUGACCCCGUAACUUCGGGAUAAGGGGAGCCUACGCGAGUAGGCCGCAGAGAAUAGUCUCAAGCGACUGUUUAGCAAAAACACAGGUCUAUGCUAAAUCGAAAGAUGAUGUAUAUGGGCUGACGCCUGCCCGGUGCUGGAAGGUUAAGGGGAAGUGUUAGAGCAAUCGAAGCACUGAACUUAAGCCCCAGUAAACGGCGGCCGUAACUAUAACGGUCCUAAGGUAGCGAAAUUCCUUGUCAGGUAAGUUCUGACCCGCACGAAUGGCGUAACGACUUGAGAGCUGUCUCAACAACAUACCCGGCGAAAUUGAAGUACUGGUAAAGAUGCCAGUUACCCGUGAUAAGACGGAAAGACCCCAUGGAGCUUUACUGUAACUUGAUAUUGAAUUUUUGUAUUACAUGUACAGGAUAGGUGGGAGACAGAGAACUAAUGCCGCCAGGUGUUAGGGAGUCGAUGUUGGGAUACCACUCUUGUAAUAUGAAGGUUCUAACCUGCACCCGUGAAUCCGGGUGGGGGACACUGUCAGGUGGACAGUUUGACUGGGGCGGUCGCCUCCUAAAAGGUAACGGAGGCGUUCAAAGGUUGGUUCAGCACGGACGGAAAUCGUGCAACGAGUGCAAACGCAUAAACCAGCCUAACUGCGAGACCGACAAGUCGAGCAGUAACGAAAGUUGGAGUUAGUGAUCCGGCGGUAUGAGAGUGGAAUUGCCGUCGCUCAACGGAUAAAAGCUACCCUGGGGAUAACAGGCUGAUCUCCCCCAAGAGUUCACAUCGACGGGGAGGUUUGGCACCUCGAUGUCGGCUCAUCGCAUCCUGGGGCUGUAGUAGGUCCCAAGGGUUGGGCUGUUCGCCCAUUAAAGCGGUACGCGAGCUGGGUUCAGAACGUCGCGAGACAGUUCGGUCCCUAUCUAUCACGGGCGUAGGAAAUUUGAGGAGAGCUGACCUUAGUACGAGAGGACCGGGUUGGACGUACCGCUGGUGCACCUGUUGUUCUGCCAAGGGCAUAGCAGGGUAGCUAAGUACGGACGGGAUAAACGCUGAAGGCAUCUAAGCGUGAAGCCCCCUUCGAGAUAAGAUUUCCCAUAGCGUAGGCUAGUAAGGACCCAUGAAGACUACAUGGUUGAUAGGCCGGAGGUGGAAGUGCAGUAAUGUAUGCAGCUGACCGGUACUAAUAGUCCGAGGGCUUGACCA
rnacentral:rRNA from 1 species